AUCUGGACUGCCCAUGGGUCUGCUCUAGGUGACUUUUAUAGCAAUUGGUGAUUAUUAAUGAAAUCUGAUACAGAGGCAGAAUUUUCAAGAUACUAAGUUCCUACAGGUUUCAUGAAAAAAAGACUCCGUGAACUGAGGGCUGUGGACUUGUGCCAUGAAAAGGGACACGCAGGAAACAGCAGCCAGCUCUGCAAAGAUUUCAAUUCUGUAUAACAGACCUAAGAGUGGAUCUGGCUUUGGAACAUGAUGUUUUAUCACUAGCAAAGGACAACUAAAUAAAAUAUAACCAAUAUUACUUUUUUACAGGGCUCUCUGAAGUAUUUCACAUCUAAUCUCCGGAUCAGAGAUUGAGUACAUGGAAGGUCAGAACUGAUCUUUGCAUCGUUUCUUCUGCCACUGAAAAAAAGAGGAAUGAAAACAAAGGUAUAUUAUCUAGAACUUAGGAGGUUUUGUCCCAGUGCCUGUUCCCUUGGAAAGCCGACACCACCCACUGGAAAGCAAAAGUUUUCAAAUGACGUUUUCUGAUUUGAAAAUUUGAAGAUGCUGCAGCACUCUGUUCAACAUUUCCUUAGUUGAAAAAUACAAUUUUCUAGUUCCAAGCUGCUUUCAUUUAGGAAUUUAGCUACUUAUAUUUUUUAAGGAAAAAUGUGAUCAUAUUACAAAUAAAACAAAAGAUACCUUAAAAAUAUAAUCAAUUUCAUGUCUGUCCCCUACAUUUUGUUUAUUUUUAAGGAAGUUUAGGAUUUUUCAUGCUUCUGGAUGAAGGUGGUGUGGGAGUUUUUUUUGGUUGGUUGGUUUGAUUUUUUGGUGGUGGGGGUUUUUUUGGGGUGUUUUUUUUUUGCUUUUGUUUCUUUUUUUUUUCAUUUUUUUUUUGUGGGGGAUUGUUUUGUUUUUUUCUAUAGGGGGUGGAUGAGAUGUUUGAAGUCUUACAAAGCAAAAAACAGGGGCUGGACACCUACUUCUUUUUUGGUUAUAGCCACAGGUCUUCUGUAUUUGUGUUUACUUCUAUGUGUUUCUAUGGAGAAAAAC